GUCCUUUGUUCCGCGACGACGAGCUCAGUUUGGCUUCAGGUGAUGGAGGUUGCUACUACCAGUUCCAGCACUACGACGAGGGGGACAGGAUUAUCACCAAUGAACCUUGCCUCAACUGUACUUGCCAUAACUCUAUGCUCAUGUGCUACUUGAAGGUAUGUCCAUUCAGCAAGCCUAUCG